CAUGAGUUCAAGGCCAGCCUGAACUCCAUAGGAAGACCCUGCCUGUCUCAAAAAGCAAAUGAAGUAAGAGGCCACUUUCCUUUCCCCGCACACCGAAGGGCGGCUGAGUCAAAGCACAGGGGAAGCAGCUGGCGGGUCUCACUAUGUGACCCAGGCUGGGCUCAAACUCAUGGUAAUCCUCCUGCCUCCGCCUCCUGAGUGCUGAGAUUACAGAAUGGAGCCCGAGGGGCCCUGAUUUGCUGCAGUAUGAUCCUGUCGCUCACCCCCAUCAGCAGGUAGACCACAGCAUUUCCUAAGCCCAGGUGUAUUCCAGCGGGGACAGGCUAGCCACACCUGUCACUCUCGGUGGCCGGCAGCCC
rnacentral:lncRNA from 1 species